CCUACGGGCGGCUGCAGUGGGGAAUAUUGCACAAUGGGCGCAAGCCUGAUGCAGCCAUGCCGCGUGUGUGAAGAAGGCCUUCGGGUUGUAAAGCACUUUCAGCGGGGAGGAAGGCGUUAAGGUUAAUAACCUUGGCGAUUGACGUUACCCGCAGAAGAAGCACCGGCUAACUCCGUGCCAGCAGCCGCGGUAAUACGGAGGGUGCAAGCGUUAAUCGGAAUUACUGGGCGUAAAGCGCACGCAGGCGGUCUGUCAAGUCGGAUGUGAAAUCCCCGGGCUCAACCUGGGAACUGCAUUCGAAACUGGCAGGCUAGAGUCUUGUAGAGGGGGGUAGAAUUCCAGGUGUAGCGGUGAAAUGCGUAGAGAUCUGGAGGAAUACCGGUGGCGAAGGCGGCCCCCCGGACAAAGACUGACGCUCAGGUGCGAAAGCGUGGGGAACAAACAGGAUUAGAUACCCGUGCAGUC
rnacentral:rRNA from 1 species